rnacentral:rRNA from 1 species
UACGUAGGGGGCAAGCGUUGUCCGGAAUCAUUGGGCGUAAAGCGCGUGUAGGCGGCCCGGUAAGUCCGCUGUGAAAGUCGGGGGCUCAACCCUCGAAUGCCGGUGGAUACUGUCGGGCUAGAGUGCGGGAGAGGCGAGUGGAAUUCCUGGUGUAGCGGUGAAAUGCGCAGAUAUCAGGAAGAACACCGGUGGCGAAGGCGGCCUGCUGGGCAGUAGCUGACACUGAGGCGCGACAGCGUGGGGAGCAAACAGG